CCCAGACUCCUACGGGAGGCAGCAGUGGGGGAUAUUGCACAAUGGGGGAAACCCUGAUGCAGCGACGCCGCGUGAGUGAAGAAGUAUUUCGGUAUGUAAAGCUCUAUCAGCAGGGAAGAAAAAAGACGGUACCUGACUAAGAAGCCCCGGCUAACUACGUGCCAGCAGCCGCGGUAAUACGUAGGGGGCAAGCGUUAUCCGGAUUUACUGGGUGUAAAGGGAGCGUAGACGGCAAUACAAGUCGGAAGUGAAAUACCCGGGCUUAACCUGGGAACUGCUUUGGAAACUGUAUGGCUGGAGUGCUGGAGAGGUAAGCGGAAUUCCUAGUGUAGCGGUGAAAUGCGUAGAUAUUAGGAGGAACACCAGUGGCGAAGGCGGCUUACUGGACAGUAACUGACGUUGAGGCUCGAAAGCGUGGGGAGCAAACAGGAUUAGAUACCCUCGUAU
rnacentral:rRNA from 1 species